rnacentral:rRNA from 1 species
UACGGGGGGGGCAAGCGUUGUUCGGAAUUACUGGGCGUAAAGGGUUCGUAGGUGGCCUGCUAAGUCAGACGUGAAAGCCCCGGGCUCAACCUGGGAAUUGCAUUCGAGACUGAAUAGCUAGGGUACGGUAGAGGGAAGCGGAAUUUCCGGUGUAGCGGUGAAAUGCGUAGAUAUCGGAAGGAACAUCAGUGGCGAAAGCGGCUUCCUGGACCAGUACCGACGUUCAGGCACGAAAGCGUGGGGAGCAAACAGG